GAGUGAAGCGGCAACAGCUCAAAUUUGAAAUCUGGGUCCGAGUUGUAAUUUGCAGAGGGCGCUUUGGCUUUGGCCGGUCCAAGUUCCUUGGAACAGGACGUCACAGAGGGUGAGAAUCCCGUACGGUCGCUAGCUUGCCGUGUAAAGCCCCUUCGACGAGUCGAGUUGUUUGGGAAUGCAGCUCUAAAUGGGAGGUAAAUUUCUUCUAAAGCUAAAUAUUGGCCAGAGACCGAUAGCGCACAAGUAGAGUGAUCGAAAGAUGAAAAGCACUUUGGAAAGAGAGUCAAACAGCACGUGAAAUUGUUGAAAGGGAAGCGCUUGCAGCCAGACUUGCUUGCAGGCUCAUCCGGGCUUUUGCCCGGUGCACUCUUGCAGCAGGCCAGCAUCAGUUUGGGCGGUGGGAUAAGGUCUCUGACACGUUCCUCUGGAGGCCAUAUAGGGGAGACGAUACCCCAGCCUGGACUGAGGUCCGCGCAUCUGCUAGGAUGCUGGCGUAAUGGCUGUAAGCGGCCCGUCUUGAAACACGGACCAAGGAGUCUAACAUCUAUGCGAGUGUUUGGGUGUCAAGCCCGAACGCGUAAUGAAAGUGAACGGAGGUGGGAACGGCGCACCAUCGACCGAUCCUGAAGUUUACGGAAGGAUUUGAGUAAGAGCAUGGCUGUUGGGACCCGAAAGAUGGUGAACUAUG
rnacentral:rRNA from 2 species